CGCGUGUGUGGCAGGGACGGGUGAGAGGAAGCCUCUGAAUGUGUGGAUUUAAAACCCAGAGUACACUCGAGGUAUUCCCAUGGCACAACCCACUUUUACAAGGUGCUAAAACUCAUUAAUUUUCUGUUGAAGCUGGGCAGGAAAGGAGGGGUCUGGGGGAACAAAGCAUACGAAAUAGAGAACUAAUCAAGCAAAUUAAUGUAUGCAGAAGGCUUUCUCCCAGGCUUGCAGAAAUAUCCAUUUGUUACCUAUAUAAGCUAUAAUUACAUAAAAUGCAAGCGAUGGCGAGAUGGAGUGUGAUUUAAGGGUUGAGAGAGCAAACAUAAUAACAAUAGCGUAAUCCUAAUAGCCAUCAUCACUCUAAUAAUGUUGGCCCUUGGCUAACGCCCUCGUUUAGGGAUCUCUGAGCGUGUUAGCUGCGUUAAUUAAUCCUCCCGCCGUACGGCUGUUAGGGCUGCUCAGAACUAUUACCCCCUCUCACCUCAGGUGAGGGAGAAGGCCACCAGGCUCGCGGCCGGGAAGAGGCUGUGGAGUCCCAUUCCCCACCCCACUCCCCUUCCCCUGCAGCCAAGCAAGCUUGCGUGGAAAGCCGGCUCUGGGCUGCCAGGUGACGGCCUUGCUUCUGUGAUGCCUGAUGGGAGGAAUGGAUCACCCAUGGUCUUUUGGGAAUGGAACCAUUGAGCCAUUCAAACAGAUACACUUCAGGUUAGGAGAAGCCGUAAGAGGCAUCUUGUUUGCAGCCUUCAAACCUCCUCCAAAGACCACUGCCUGUGCAGUCCUUCAAGUCCUAGAGAAACAAACUGCUGAUUCUUUGGGUCCCCUGGGCUUCUCAGCUGUGAUGUCCUUAACGUGAGUCCCACUUACUCCAAUCCCAGCUGACUUGAGGCUGUAAGUCCUCUCCCUAAGGAAGGGAGUCAUAUUAACCCUUUAUAUUCUCACAUCAGUGAGUUUUCCCAAAGUUGACUGUUGUGUAAUUAGCAAUCAGAUUAUUUUUAUGGAAGAUGGACCUUUGGAGUCUGCCCCCAGUGUCUGCCCACCCAGAAUUUGUAGCUGGUCAUUCAUCUUGAUGUCAAUCUGCUUUUCUGAAUGAGCCAAGCAAGGGCUUGGGCCUCUUCCUCGGUGUAGGUGGUGUGCGCAGACCCGCAGCCCCUCCCACUGCAGAAGCACCGUCUGGCAGUCCCUUCCUCUCUCCCCCCUGGGCUCUGUCCCUUCCUUCCUGUUCCUCACCCUCACCUUCUCCAUCAGGUGCAUAAAGCCAGGCUCAGCCACUCUCUAGCUGCGUGACCUUGAACACACUUCUCAGCCUCUUUCUGUCUCAGUUUCAUCGCCUGCAAAACAAAGUGUUUGGACAAGAUGACUUUCCAGGUUGCUUCCAGGACACAGAUUACGAGGCACUGUUACCCCCAGGCCGGAGUGGAGAGAACCAAAAAGCUCAGAGACACAGAGGACUUUGCCCGAAGUCACAACCAAGACGGAGGAGCUGGCCCCAAAGCCUGAUCACACUCCAAAGUUCAUGCUCAAAACAUAUUGAUGUUUGUCAAAUGUAUAUUUUAAUUUUUAAUUCACGUGA